CUCCCCGAAAGCUAUUUAGGUAGCGCCUCGUGAAUUCAUCUCCGGGGGUAGAGCACUGUUUCGGCUAGGGGGCCAUCCCGGCUUACCAACCCGAUGCAAACUGCGAAUACCGGAGAAUGUUAUCACGGGAGACACACGGCGGGUGCUAACGUCCGUCGUGAAGAGGGAAACAACCCAGACCGCCAGCUAAGGUCCCAAAGUCAUGGUUAAGUGGGAAACGAUGUGGGAAGGCCCAGACAGCCAGGAUGUUGGCUUAGAAGCAGCCAUCAUUUAAAGAAAGCGUAAUAGCUCACUGGUCGAGUCGGCCUGCGCGGAAGAUGUAACGGGGCUAAACCAUGCACCGAAGCUGCGGCAGCGACGCUGAUGCGUUGUUGGGUAGGGGAGCGUUCUGUAAGCCUGCGAAGGUGGCCUGUGAGGGUUGCUGGAGGUAUCAGAAGUGCGAAUGCUGACAUAAGUAACGAUAAAGCGGGUGAAAAGCCCGCUCGCCGGAAGACCAAGGGUUCCUGUCCAACGUUAAUCGGGGCAGGGUGAGUCGACCCCUAAGGCGAGGCCGAAAGGCGUAGUCGAUGGGAAACGGGUUAAUAUUCCCGUACUUGGUGUUACUGCGAAGGGGGGACGGAGAAGGCUAUGUUGGCCGGGCGACGGUU
rnacentral:rRNA from 2 species